rnacentral:sRNA from 1 species
CCCAGGGGCACCCCCUCUCCUUCCAGGGGCCCAGACUCGGCCCAGGCCACGUGGAGUCGGGGAGACCACGCUGGCCAUGUGGCCUGGCCUUGCUGGCCUGAGCAGAAGUGGGAGUGAGCGGAAGCAGCCGUGCACGGCCACACAGGACACGGUCUGCCGCUGCCGGGCGGGCACCCAGCCCCUGGACAGCUACAAGCCUGGAGUUGACUGUGCCCCCUGCCCUCCAGGGCACUUCUCCCCAGGCGACAACCAGGCCUGCAAGCCCUGGACCAACUGCACCUUGGCUGGGAAGCACACCCUGCAGCCGGCCAGCAAUAGCUCGGACGCAAUCUGUGAGGACAGGGACCCCCCAGCCACGCAGCCCCAGGAGACCCAGGGCCCCCCGGCCAGGCC